rnacentral:rRNA from 1 species
AACGAACGCUGGCGGCAUGCCUAACACAUGCAAGUCGAACGAGACCUUCGGGUCUAGUGGCGCACGGGUGCGUAACGCGUGGGAACCUGCCCUUAGGUUCGGAAUAACUCCCCGAAAGGGGUGCUAAUACCGGAUAAUGUCUUCGGACCAAAGAUUUAUCGCCUUUGGAUGGGCCCGCGUUGGAUUAGCUAGUUGGUAGGGUAAAAGCCUACCAAGGCGACGAUCCAUAGCUGGUCUGAGAGGAUGAUCAGCCACACUGGGACUGAGAACCGGCCCAGACUCCUACGGGAGGGAGGAGUGGGGAAUAUUGGACCAUGGGGGAAAGCCCGGUCCCGCCAUGCCGGGGGAGUGAUGAAGGCCUUAGGGUUGUAAAGCCCCUUUUCCCGGGAUGAUAAUGACAGUACCGGGAGAAUAAGCCCCGGCUAACUCCGUG